UUUUGCGUUUAUCCCCGUUUAUUUGUGUCCAUUUAAGUAAAAAUAACGAUCUGUACACCUUAACGUGCUUAAUGAUACAAUUACGGGAGGCAGUGCAAACCAAAAGUGACAAAUUAUCGCCCGAUCGACGAAACCUGACUAAGUUGGUCAAGCCCUAGCCCUGAUGAAGAUGCCCCCCAAUAGCAUCGAAACGUUGGCAUUGGUAUAAAACGGACCAACCGCAUAUUAAUUGA
rnacentral:lncRNA from 1 species